AGCGAACGCUGGCGGCAGGCCUAACACAUGCCAGUCGAACGAACUCUUCGGAGUUAGUGGCGGGCGGGUGAGUAACACGUGGGAACGUGCCUUUAGGUUCGGAAUAACUCAGGGAAACUUGUGCUAAUACCGAAUGUGCCCUUCGGGGGAAAGAUUUAUCGCCUUUAGAGCGGCCCGCGUCUGAUUAGCUAGUUGGUGAGGUAAAGGCUCACCAAGGCGACGAUCAGUAGCUGGUCUGAGAGGAUGAUCAGCCACAUUGGGACUGAGACACGGCCCAAACUCCUACGGGAGGCAGCAGUGGGGAAUCUUGCGCAAUGGGCGAAAGCCUGACGCAGCCAUGCCGCGUGAAUGAUGAAGGUCUUAGGAUUGUAAAAUUCUUUCACCGGGGACGAUAAUGACGGUACCCGGAGAAGAAGCCCCGGCUAACUUCGUG
rnacentral:rRNA from 1 species